rnacentral:rRNA from 1 species
CCUACGGGAGGCAGCAGUGGGGAAUAUUGGACAAUGGGCGAAAGCCUGAUCCAGCAAUGCCGCGUGAGUGAUGAAGGCCUUAGGGUUGUAAAGCUCUUUUACCCGGGAUGAUAAUGACAGUACCGGGAGAAUAAGCCCCGGCUAACUCCGUGCCAGCAGCCGCGGUAAUACGGAGGGGGCUAGCGUUGUUCGGAAUUACUGGGCGUAAAGCGCACGUAGGCGGCUUUGUAAGUUAGAGGUGAAAGCCCGGGGCUCAACUCCGGAAUUGCCUUUAAGACUGCAUCGCUAGAAUUGUGGAGAGGUAAGUGGAAUUCCGAGUGUAGAGGUGAAAUUCGUAGAUAUUCGGAAGAACACCAGUGGCGAAGGCGACUUACUGGACACAUAUUGACGCUGAGGUGCGAAAGCGUGGGGAGCAAACAGGAUUAGAUACCCUUGUAGUC